AAAUAGAACUUUGCAGAGAGAGUUAAGAGGGCGUGAAACCGUUAAUUGGCAAACGAAUCGGAGCCACGAAGUCGUUUCGUCGAGCCUAGGGUUGAGUUCAGUUUGCAAUUCGUUGCAGGCGUAUUCUCAAACCUGGCCAAUGUAAGCGUACACUGCAACCAGUUAGACAAUUGCUCAUGGAACCAGCAAGUUGGUCAAGUUAGUAGUUGUAUGUUGGGGACUUGUCUCUAGUGUGCAGCUGGACUUGUGCCGAGUGAACUAUGAGCAAAUACUGACUGGCAAAAUGAAAAUCGUGCAACAGCACGUGCUAUGGCUGCUAGCUAUAUGAUAGACUACACAAUCCACCGUAGACAUAUUAAAGUUCGGUGCUCUCGAAUUUGGACUUGCCAGCUACCAAUGGGGCAACCCUUGGUGCUAGUAUAGCUUUCAUCUAAUCGGGUGCCGGCUUGUGUUUGCGUCGUUGCGAGUGUGCUACGAUUGGUUUACAUAUGGCUAGUAAGUUAUAUAUUGGCAGUGAGUAGGUCGGCUUUCCGAACGACCCGUCUUGAAACACGGACCAAGGAGUCUAAUUAGGCAUCAAGUCGAUCGGUCUUGAAUAGGCCAGACUGACUGGGCUCAGUCGAUUAAGGCGUAGAGAAAUCAUGUGAUCGUUCGGACUAAAAGGUCUGGAUGCGCAACAUGUGCCUGUUCAAGAAAAUGUUAACAAAUUUUCGAGCGGAGCAAAGAGAUGCCUGAUUGGUACCCGAAAGAUGGUGAUGCUUGGGCAAGUUGAAGCCAGAGGAAACUCUGGUGGAGGACUGUAGCGAUUCUGACGUGCAAAUCGAUCGUCAGACCUGAGUAUAGGGGCGAAAGACUAAUCGAACCAUC
rnacentral:rRNA from 1 species